rnacentral:rRNA from 1 species
GACGAACGCUGGCGGCGUGCUUAACACAUGCAAGUCGAACGGAAAGGCCCUGCUUUUGUGGGGGGCUCGAGUGGCGAACGGGUGAGUAACACGUGAGUAACCUGCCCUUGACUUUGGGAUAACUUCAGGAAACUGGGGCUAAUACCGGAUCGGAGCUCCUGCUGCAUGGUGGGGGUUGGAAAGUUUCGGCGGUUGGGGAUGGACUCGCGGCUUAUCAGCUUGUUGGUGGGGUAGUGGCUUACCAAGGCUUUGACGGGUAGCCGGCCUGAGAGGGUGACCGGCCACAUUGGGACUGAGAUACGGCCCAGACUCCUACGGGAGGCAGCAGUGGGGAAUAUUGCACAAUGGGCGGAAGCCUGAUGCAGCAACGCCGCGUGCGGGAUGACGGCCUUCGGGUUGUAAACCGCUUUCGCCUGUGACGAAGCGUGAGUGACGGUAAUGGGUAAAGAAGCACCGGCUAACUACGUG